GUGGCUUCCGGCCUUUUGGCUAGAUCAAGUGUAGUAUCUGUUCUUAUCAGUUUAAUAUCUGAUAUGUCCUCUAUCAGGGGCGACGUACUAUAUAAUGGAUUUUUGCCCAAUGGGAGUUGAAAGGGGGGCUUGUCCCUUCACUCCGCACGCUCGACCCGGUAUUGCAAGCGCCGCCGAACGCGGUGCACCUUAU